rnacentral:rRNA from 1 species
UACGAAGGGGGGCUAGCGUUGCUCGGAAUUACUGGGCGUAAAGCGCACGUAGGCGGUCUUUUAAGUCGGGGGUGAAAUCCCAGGGCUCAACCCUGGAACUGCCUUUGAUACUGUCGAUCUGGAGUAUGGAAGAGGUGAGUGGAAUUCCGAGUGUAGAGGUGAAAUUCGUAGAUAUUCGGAGGAACACCAGUGGCGAAGGCGGCUCACUGGUCCAUUACUGACGCUGAGGUGCGAAAGCGUGGGGAGCGAACAGG